rnacentral:lncRNA from 1 species
GGGCUUAACCCUCUAGCCGCUGGGCACGCGCGGGCUACCGGGGCGGAGGCGUACGGGGGCGGCGAGCGGGGCUCGGCUCCUCCUCGUCCCGCGCCAGCGCCGCGCCCGGCCGCAUUCUCGGGGCCCGAGGCUCAGCCGCUCGCGGUGGAGAAAGCAGGCCGCGGAGGAGGCGGGCGCCCAGGCCUGCCCGGACAGGAAGUGGGCCCAGCUUUCCCACUCCUCGCUCCGCUCCUUCCUCCGCGGGAAGGGCAGGCCCCGGAGGCAGCGAGCGCCCCGGGGGUGGCCGGGCAGCCGGAUGCUCCCGGGGUUGCGGGCUGUGGCCCCGGGGGCUGAGGGCGGCGCGGGUGCGGCGGAAGCAGGGAAGCCGCGAACCGGCCUUCUGGCUGGCCACAGCGCCCUGCACGGACGAUCAGUGAAUGGAGAUUACUCAAGUAUUUAUCGAGAACUUGCAGUGGGCUAGGCACAGUUCAGGUAGAUCAACAAACCGAAAGACCCUGCCCUAGGGGAGCUUUCGCUCCAAUGCGGGGAGAGGGUGGAUGAUUGCAGUUUUGCCCAGUAAUUUUUGGGACCCUCAUGCCACCAUUAAUUAGCUACACACAUUUCACCGAAAGUCUACCUUACAUAUUAAUCAGAAGAAGUGGAAGAAUAAACACAGAAGAAGCAAAAAAGGAAGGAACUUUCUCACUGAAAGUUUCUAUUUAAUAUUAAGUCUUAAAAGUACUCCUGGAAGGACAAAAGGUGUUCUUAAUAAAUUAUAUUCGCAAAUAUUGGAUUUAAUCCUACCAGUAAUGAAGCAGUCAGUUACUUUCUAGAUGUGCAGAAAUACGUAAUGAACAAAAAAAACUAAUUCCUAUUCCAUUUUUUAUUAGGUCCACAGUUAUUUCACUUCUAAAUAAAUAUGGUUUUUUAAAAGUGGCACGCGGUGGAAUGUAAUUGAGACAGGAUGGAGUUCCUAGAGAAAUUUUACUUCCUCAAUCUGCACUCCACCUUACUUAAAAUACAGUCUUGGGUCUGUAAUUCCCUUAUCUGACUCUCAAGGAAAUGACAAAGUAAUGCCUAGAUUGGACUAAACCUCAUUUAACUUCAAGGCUGACCUUUCUCAAAGUUGAACCUUCGUCUUGUGAGGAACAGAAAGAUCAAGAACUCUGAAGCACCUCGACUUUCCACCUGUGAAGAUGUGUUCAAAUUUGCAACGUGCGGCCACACCUAUGAGGUCACUCCCUCUGGAGGAAACCAGCUGCCACUUUGUGAGGAUACUCAUAGUCCUGUGGAGGCAUAUCCUCCAUAUGGCUGAGACCUCCUGCGAACAACCAUCACUGACUUGCCAGACAUGAGUGUGCCACCUUGGAAGCAGAUUUUCCAGCCCCAGUUAAGCCUUCAGAUGACAUCAGCCCCUGCUAAUCUCUUGACUACAACCUCAUGAGAGACCCUGAGCCAGAACUAGCCAGGCUUACCCCUCAUGGUUACAAAGUGGCUGCAACAGCUCCAGGUGUUCUAUCCUUUAACACAGAAUAACUCAAACAACAAGACCCAAUAUUCAGACAAGAAGGAAAGGGACUUUUGGAGAGUGAAGAAAACUUUCCUAGAAACCUCAAACUUCUCCCCAUGCCUUAUUGGCCAGAUUGUAUCCCAUGCCCAUUUCUAAACCAAUCAUUGGCAAAGUGAGUGGAAUUGACGUGAUUAGAUUAACUUUACCAAGAAUGCAUCCUCAGAGAGGCUGAGAAAAAGUCCAGCCUCCUUUGAAGAGCCUGGCUACCUUUCACCUGAACAAAACAAGAAUUCUGAUGAAAAAUGGAGAAUGUAUGUGGAGCAGGCACCCGGAGUGUCUAUGCCAGGAUUUUUUUUCAGUGCGUUUCACCGGUUAUAUUUUUGUCUCUUUACCUUACAAGAUAUGUGGCACGUUUGCCUAAAACAAGCCUUGCUUUCUGAUUUCUGUGCACUAGGCACUUAAACCUUGCAAAUGUCGCUUACCUAACAGUCACUGUCAAGGAGUACCUGGCUAAAGAAUCUCCAGCUAGACAAAGUAGAAGUGUCUGUGCUCUGGCAGUUGAAUAUAUUGUAUCAGGCUCAACAGCACCUUUCACCAAAGGAUGAGACUUCACAACCAUUAGAUCUUCUUUUAUUUUGUUUUUAUUAAAAAAAAAAAUUUUAACACACCAUUGCUAACUUGAAGCCAUUAGAUCUUCUUACCCCCAAUACCACAAAAGUUUAGUGGAAUCAGGGGUAUACCAAGGCAGGUGGAGUAGGGGAGCUGGGAGUGGUCAGCCCCCAGGGCAGGCAAUGAGGGAUUGUGAAUCUGUGAAGAAUUUUAAAGCAAUGAUACAGCUCUAAAUGCAAUGUACUAUCCUGGACUUAGCCCUGGAAAAGAAAAAAGAUAUUAGUGGAAAAACUGGUAAAAUUCAAAUAAUGUCUGUAGUUUGGUUAAUAGUAUUAUACCAAUGUUAAUUUCUGUGUUUUGAUAAAUGUACCAUGGUUAUGUAAGCUGGAUGAAAGAUAUGUGGGAAAUCUCUCUACUAUUUCUGCAACUCUCCUGUAAACCUAAAAAUGUUUCAAAAUAAAAGAUUUAAUGCUAAAAUUGAC